rnacentral:tRNA from 1 species
GCCGAAGUAGCUCAGUUGGUAGAGCAACCGCCUUGUAAGCGGUAGGUCCCGAGUUCGAAUCUCGGCUUCGGCU